rnacentral:lncRNA from 1 species
AUGAUGUAGAAAAAAUAUUUACCUUUACAGUGAAAUCAAAAGUACAUGAAAUUUUAACAUACAGCAUAAUGUAGUAAAGAGAUAAGACAGUUAGAGAAGUCAGUGCAUCAAGAUCAAAAGAUAAAGGGAAAAUCUACAGCAUGGGAAAACACUUCAUGAAAAUGACAGGAGGGUCUUAAUGGAUCCUCCAUUUCUGUAUUCAUUAACUAUUUGGUCACUUUUCUCUAUUAUAAUUUGUUUUUAUUGUAAUUCUUUUAUUCCAUUAUGCCCAUUUAUAUUCUCUAUUCUUUAAUUUUUUUUUACUCCUAAUUUUCUAUACUUUAAAUUUUUUUUACCCAUAAUUCACUAUUCUUUAUCUUUUAAACCCUAUUUUUCUCUAUUCUUUAUAUGUUGGGCCCUUUUUCUGUAAAUUUGGUCAUAAAUCUCUACUAUGUAAAACCCCAACCAGGAACACACAUGUACACAGUAAUGAUUUUUCAAAACACAGUGCAGGACAUUUCACUUAUAAUGGCUGAAAUUUGAAACUCCUCAUUUUAAGAUUUCUUCCACUGUGUAAACUGAGAUUUAUAUGUCUAUUAAGUAUUAAAUUUGUGUUUCACAGUAAACAUCCGUAAAGUGAGACAGUUUGAAAGUCCCAUCCAAUUGUCAAUUCAACCAGAAUUCUAAAGAGUUUCCAUAUUAGUUCCUUCUCAAAUUCC